CACGUAGGCACCAAGCGUUAUCCGGAUUUAUUGGGCGUAAAGAGCUCGUAGGCGGUUCGGUAAGUCGGGUGUGAAAACCCUGGGCUCAACCCAGAGAGGCCACCCGAUACUGCUGUGACUAGAGUGCGGUAGGGGAGCGGGGAAUUCCUGGUGUAGCGGUGAAAUGCGCAGAUAUCAGGAGGAACACCAGCGGCGAAGGCGGCGCUCUGGGCCGGAACUGACGCUGAGGAGCGAAAGCAUGGGUAGCGAACAGG
rnacentral:rRNA from 1 species